UGGGGAAUAUUGGACAAUGGGCGAAAGCCUGAUCCAGCCAUGCCGCGUGUGUGAAGAAGGUCUUCGGAGUGUAAAGCACUUUAAGUUGGGAGGAAGGGCAGUAAGCGAAUACCUUGCUGUUUUGACGUUACCGACAGAAUAAGCACCGGCUAACUCUGUGCCAGCAGCCGCGGUAAUACAGAGGGUGCAAGCGUUAAUCGGAAUUACUGGGCGUAAAGCGUGCGUAGGCGGCUAAUUGAGUCGGAUGUGAAAUCCCCGAGCUUAACUUGGGAAUUGCAUUCGAUACUGGUUAGCUAGAGUGUGGGAGAGGAUGGUAGAAUUCCAGGUGUAGCGGUGAAAUGCGUAGAGAUCUGGAGGAAUACCGAUGGCGAAGGCAGCCAUCUGGCCUAACACUGACGCUGAGGUACGAAAGCAUGGGGAGCAAACAGG
rnacentral:rRNA from 1 species